UAGCAUCAUAUGUGUCUCUCUAUAUAUAUUUCCUUUUCCCAAUACUGUUACCAUCUCUAUGAGCUUCCUAACCCUUCCUUUCCCAUCUACUAUUUCUCUUACUCUCUAACAUAAAAACAGCUUAAAUAAAUAUGCAGACUCCAUUCUUCCUAGAGAUCUCUCUUGGAUUAUUGUUAAUUCCCUUUUAUCAUGCAAAUUUUCCCUAUGUUUCCACUUAUUCGACAGAGUCUUGAAAUAUGUUUCUAUGAGGUUAUUUAAUUAUAUAUGUUAACCGAUUUCUUGGUGUACUGAUUUAGCUUAUCCUUUUCUGCCCAACAUAUGCUGGAACCUGUGAAAAAAAUCAUAUCUAAAAACCCAAGAAAAAAGGAAGGAGAGGGAAAAAAAAGAAUUCGGAGUCUUAAUUUUUUUUGGUUUUAUCUGGUAUUUAUAUUUGUUAAUUUUCUCCCUAUACCUAUCUUUUUGUGGAGCAAGAGUUAUCAACCUUCCAAAGAUAUAAGGUUUUUUUAUGUUUGAUUUUUUUUUUUUUUUGAAAUUAAUGAAAUAUCUGGUGGCUAAAUGGUCCAUUAUUUUAGCUAGAAUUGUUAGCCCAUUGUUCCAAGAUAUGGAUGUACUUAAUUAGAUUUGCCCCCUAUAAAUAUGUAUAUGUAAAGCAUUUAUGAUAACCAUUUUGAAUGGUUGAAGGAUAGGGUUUCUAGUCCACUUGGAGACAUUCAUAAAAUUGGAGCGAUACAGAGAAAAUAGGGUUUCUGGGUCGAUAGUUGAACAAUCAACGCAGUCGUUGUUUGCAGAUGUAGUAUCAUCAAGAUUCACAUAUUGUAAAGGCAUGGUGAUUAAUGAAGAAAAAAAAACGACCAUGGCUUUUUUAGAGGUGAGAAUCUUGAUGAUGCUGCAUCAGCAAUAAACGACUACCUAACUUACAGGAGCGAAGGUAACUAAACGAGUUAUGAAUUCAAUAGCAUAUUCAGAACCCAUAAAUUUCAAGUUCGGCACUGCUUCUACUAACCUAUACUUUCUUUUAAGGCUGUCACUCUAAGCAAAAGGAGAAAUUCAGACCCCAGAAGUAUAGUACUGUUGUUCAGUUUCUGUAUAGAUACAUGGAUUUGCCUUGUUUUAUUUUUACUGUAUUUCAGUUCAGUACUGUAUAUUCUUGUCAGGUCGAUCUGUUUUUAAUUUUUAUUGUUUCAAAAUCUAACAGGUGAAUUUGGAUUUUUGUUUUAUUUUGAGACUGCUCACUGCUCUUUUGCUGAUGAAAUGAGGACUGUGUAGAUCUGUGAUUAUUCUCUCCUGGCAAAUGAAGUUAUGAUUAUUAAUGGUCUUCAGAAGGAAAAGAGCCAAAGGAGACCAACAAGGGUUGUGGACUUCUUCAUCCUUAACCAAAUAUCUCGGGUUGGAGCCCUGGGUAUGGAGUCGUUGGACUCCUUCAUUCUUAAUCAGAUGUCUUGGAUUUGAGUCCUGGGUAUGGAGUCGCCUUGUUAGAGAGUGCUUUACCUCCCAAUGUGAACUUUUCGGCACGAAUCCGGAUUUGAUCGGCCCAAUACAAGUACCGAACAUUGGGUGGAAAAUCCAAAAAUAAAAGGAGCUAAGGGAGAGUUGGAGUAACCUAAAGAAAACUGAGAAGAAGAGGUGAUAUAGGUAUAAGGAAGGCUAAGGAGCAGUUUUGGAGUU